CCCUUUGUCGCUAAGAUUCGA
rnacentral:sRNA from 1 species